CUCCGGGGACGGCGAACGCCGAAGCCUGCCCGAACCAGGAGGAGGAGCAGUCUCGGCAGAAUCCGUGACACGAAUGGACUUAAUUUACAAGUAAAGGACAACACAUGCACCUCUGCUGUCCACAGGGAGAGAGAUGCUAGACACAUGGGCCCCUCUUCCUCUCUGAGAAACAAUGUAUCUCCAACACCACAUGUCCAGGCCUCUGUCUGUUUAACAGAAUGAUGGAGAGGACAAGAACCAAGUGCACUUGAACGGUGGACUGAAUGAGUCUGAUGCGGGAGUACGGGAUGCACCUCUGACCAGGGAGAAACCUCAUCCAACUGGGCCAACUGGGACCCAGUACUGUCACAGUUACACCUGUGGGAUAUUCAAGUGGGGUCACCUCAGCGCCAUAGCAACGCCUGCGGCCGUGCUCCCUGGGUCUCGGGGAUCCUGGGAAGGGAGCUGGAGGAAUGCUGUAUCUGAUUGUCUGCCUCACGGAGAGGUGGCCACAGGCUGGACCUUGCACCCCGCACCACGUAUCACAUGUCCGCUAAGCAAAUCCAGCUCCGCUCUAAGCCCCAGAACCAUCCAGCUGACACCAACCCAGCCAUCCCAUGGAGCAUGGACACAGCCUGGGAAUAGGGCUGUGGAGGUGGAGGUGCCAUAGUCAUCAAAUGUGAGCUGCACACAGACUGUACAGAGAGGUGUGUAAAAUGUUAGCGCCUCUGAAUGAGUGAGGACGUUGGCUUUUUAUGAAUUCAGUCUCAUUCCAACUGCUGCUAUUCCAACUGCCACUAAGGAGAUAACCUUUGCAUGGGAUCACUGACCUACCAAUAGUGAUAUAGCGUUCAACCCUUUGAAUAAUCUGUAAUACACUUUUUUGUGUAUAAAAUGUAUUCUGAAAUCUGCAUGUUAUGUAUUAGGUGUAAUAAAAUGC